rnacentral:rRNA from 1 species
GAGUUUGAUCUUGGCUCAGGAUGAACGCUAGCGACAGGCCUAACACAUGCAAGUCGAGGGGCAACAGAGAAGUAGCAAUACUUUUGCUGGCGACCGGCGCACGGGUGAGUAACACGUAUGCAACCUGCCCGUAACAGGGGGAUAACCCGGAGAAAUCCGGCCUAAUACCGCAUAAUACCUAUUUUGCGCCUGCGGAAUAGGUUAAAGAAUAUCGGUUACGGAUGGGCAUGCGUUCCAUUAGUUAGUUGGUGAGGUAACGGCCCACCAAGACGACGAUGGAUAGGGGUUCUGAGAGGAAGGUCCCCCACAUUGGAACUGAGACACGGUCCAAACUCCUACGGGAGGCAGCAGUGGGGGAUAUUGCACAAUGGGCGAAAGCCUGAUGCAGCGACGCCGCGUGAGGGAAGAC